UUUCAGUUUGACUUGAGCUUCACUUACUGCCUGUUAACCACAUGUUACCUUAUAUCUGAACCUAACAUCCAGUGGUAUAUUAGUUCAUAAUUGUUUGACCAAAUAAUGGACAGGAUAUGCUGAUGUUGACACGAACGGUGGGGUCAUUCAGACUAUAAAAAAACAUGUGGACACGUUACUCCAAUCUUACAUUUAAUCCUCACUCAGUACAUUACGUUAAGUUCGUCUUAACAAACCAAUAUAACACAUUUGGAUGUAUCCGUUUUCAACUCUCAAAGACUGUGGUGGAGAAUSCAACAAUGCAGACCAUGGAUAUUGAUGAGGACACGUAUCCCAACAAGCCCAGUUUGACAUUUUCAGCUCAUUUUCAGUGGUGGAAGAGACCAUCUGGAGUUGCUGCAGUGUGUCUGGGGCUGCUUGUGUGUUCUCCUAUUGGCUGGGAUCUUAGGCAUGUUUGUCUACUAUGGAGUCAUUGAUCAUCACUACUAACAGAGAGAACCAACAGCCAGUUACAGCCUUCUGACUAAAGAAGGAGAUCAGCAACCCACCAGCUAUCAUAACUUGACUAAAGAGGAAGACCAGCUACAGACCAGAAUAAACACCUGACUAAAGAGAGAGACCAGUUCAGAAAGAGAAAGACCAGCUACAGACCAGUUACAACACCCUGACUAAAGAGAAAGACCAGCUACAGAGCAGUUAUAACACCCUGACUGAAGAGAGAGACCAGCUACAGAAUAGUCUCACAACCAAAACUAAGGAAAAGAUCAGUUGCAAAUUCUCUCACCACACAAACACAGGAAAGGGAUCAAUUGCAGAAUAGCCUGAACAAAAAAAGUAAGAGAGAGAUCAGCUACAGAAUAUCUAAAUACCAGGACCACAGAGAGAGACCAGUUAC